rnacentral:lncRNA from 1 species
UUUUAUUUUUAUUUUUUAUUUUUUUUCCAAGACAGGGUUUCUCUGUAUAGUCCUGGCUGUCCUGGAACUCACUCUGUAGACCAGGCUGACCUCGAACUCAGAAAUCCGCCUGCCUCUGCCUCUCAAGUGCUGGGAUUAAAGGCGUGUGCCACCAUGCCCAGCUCAUUUUUAUUUUCUUAAGAUAGAAUAUUAGGCCACUGACUAAGACCUUUGUCAUUUCUACCAUAAAUAUUUACAAAUAUAAAUGACCCCUAAAUACAUCUCUUUACUGCAUCUCAUAAAUUCUGAUCUAUUGAAAUUUGAUUUCUACUCAGCUAAAUACAUAAUUUAUUAUGGUUAUCUAUUUUCUCACAUAUAUCAUUAAUAAUCCUUUUACUUAAUUUCUUAAGAAAUCUGAAGGUUUUCUAGUUUUCUGUCUGAUUUGUAAUUUAAAACCACAAGUUUCCAUGAUGUUAGUUAUUAUAAUAAUCUUUCUAUUUUAUAAUUUACAAUGGAAAUUCACUUUAGUAGAUAUUCUUACUGUGCCUCUUAAUUGUGCUGUUUAUUUUAUACAUAUUUAACAGCCAUUCCUUUCAUGAUUGAAUUUCAUUGGUGUUUUGGUAUUUGUGUGUGUGUGUAUGAGAGAAAUAGAGGAAGUGAAAAAGAGAUAUUUUUUAACUGCUUUUUUUUUCAUCUGGAUUGGAAACUUUCUUAUUUAAUAUAUUUUUGCGGCAUUCUAUUGUUUUAAAGAUUCAUCUUGCUCUACUUGUGUGUAAGGGGUGUUAUGGUGACCAGAAGGCGAAUUGAAUCCUUUAGAGCUGAUGUUACGGGUUUUGUGAGCUGCUUGAUGUGAGUUCUUGCAGAGAUCUAAACACUGACCCUCUGAUAGAACCGUUAGUGCUCUUAAUGCCUGAUCUAUCAAUCUAGCCCAAUUUUUAUUUUUAUAUUGACUUUAUAUAUUUUAUUACUCUUGCUAGUGAUUAUAAUCACUCGUUUAGCUUUUAAGAGUUGAUUUAAUUACUAAUAUUAACAAAAUUCUGAUAAAACAUAAAGAAGAGUGCUUUCAGUUUAUCACUGCCCUUUAUUUCUCACCUCUUUCUGUCAGAUACAUUCCCUCUGUAUAGGUGAUAAAUGCAGAAAUGUAAUAGUUUAACCGUAACUCAUAGUGCUUUGUUGUAAAGGUGACAUGAUAAGAAAAAGGAGAGACUCAUUGAGAGAGUUUUCCGUGAGCCUGCGCAUUGUAAUUUCUUCUGCUUUUCUUUUCUUCCUUUGAAUUUGGGUCACCAUCUGGCUGUGUCCUGUAUCCUGAUAGAUUUGCCAGAGUAUUUGCACUACAGGUCAACUAACAAUGCAUUGCCUGGUAUGGACUGCAUUUUUACCACCACAUUUGAAGGGAAAUUCUGUUAUGUACUGGUCUUGUUAUCUCUCAAUAUUUGAAUAUGUCAUGUCACCCUAGUUUCUUGGCCUCUCUUAUUUCAUGUAAAACGGUAAACUAUUAGGCACACGAGCACUCCUCUGUAACUCUUUUUUUAAAAUUUUAAGUGUUUGAUUAUAUAUUGUAGUGUGAAUAUCUUUAGAGUAGUGGUAGUUUGAAUCUGUAGAAAGUCUUAGCUAUGUAAACACAUUUUUGAUUUUAUGACAUUUGAUAAUAUUUUACCUAAGGCUUGGCAUGUGGGCUCUGCCUCCUCUCUGUGUAUAUUAUUUCUCUUUACUGAAUACUCUUAUUGUAUGUCAUGAAACUCUGUGCAUUCUUUUAUCAUUUUUCUUCUAUUUUUUUUUUGCUUAGAUAUUUUUUCAUGAUUUUUAAGUUCUUAGACUUUUUCUUUUAUCUCAAAUAGGCUGUUGAGUCUUUAGUAAAAAACUAUUACCUUUUGCUUUUUAUCUCUAGAAUUUGCCUUGCUUUAUUUUCUAAAAUAUAACUUCUCUGUCCUUGUUGGGAGUCUUUGUGUAUGGCUGCAUUGUUAGUGUAUGUUUUUUCAGCUUUAAAACAUACAUCCCAUUAGUUUUUUAAAAUGUAUUCAGAAGAAAUGCCUUGAAGUUUUAAUGGGUAUAACAAACAUAGUGGAAUAAUCCAGCAAUUCUUAGUGCCCAUUUGUAGAGUGACUGUAGAUCACAAUCUACUGCUUCAUUGUAAUGUUUUAUCUGUACUGCUCUGUUGCAGUCACAAGUAGUGAAUGUGUUACCAUUAGUCAUAAAGCCUAGCUUCUUAUAUCCUGCUCCUGAGUUCUCUAGGAUUGAGCUCUCAUCCAAUGAUUAAACAGAGUUUUUACUCACCUACACCUACAGAGAUACUUUCUCUAGUAGACUUGUAUUUGAGUAAGGAGUCUACUGGAAGUUUAAGUCACUUUAGGGUCUGUUUCUCAUUUGCUUUUCAUUGGUGUCUUUCAUGUCCUUUCUGCUACAAUUAACCUCUUAGUCAAUGAAAGCCAUAGUCCUGACUUGGACUCCUCACUGACUCUGCACACCCUGUAGAGCACUCAGAGCAGUCAUUGGAUUUACAUAGUAGUUAGCCAUCAACACACCUAGUCAGGCCAUCACCCCGUAUUCCAAACCAAAUGAUUACCCUAGAAUGAAAGCCUAGAGUUCUCUGAUCUUCAGGCCUGAAUUCCCCUGGCAAAGCCUUCACAGUGACUAGGUUAGGGUGGCUCAGUAUUCGACUUACUGGUUCUUCAUUAGAGCUGAGAAGAAUUCUACAUGGAUAUACCACUCUCCGGGUGUUUUCUACCCUUGCUCAGUGAAUGUGCCUCACAACGUUUGGCUGCCACUUUUGAUCAACUUUAUCUUGAGACUUUUAGUGCAUAUAUUUACUGAUCUCUUUUCUUGGCUACAGCAGAUGCCAGUAGGCUUUAUUUAGCAUGGUUCUGAGACAUUUAUACGCAUAGCCUUGGGGAAUGCUGCUUGUAAGUUACAGGGUAUCUGUUAUCAGCCUCUAAACUUGUUAGUAAAUUUUGAGAGCUGCAUGGCAUUGCAAAAGAUCCUGCCCUACUUUUGACAGUCACUAUGAGCUUACCUAUCAGCCUUCUUAGACUUAGAGUCUAGGAUCUCAUCUCUGUCUGUGAAGUACAUUUCAGACCAUGUUGCUGAGGUCAGUGGUCAAACGGCAUCCUCAAUCUAAGUUUCUCUUGAACUCAUUGGUUAAACUCAAGAUGAGUAUUUCAUAGGCAGCUUUAGUUCUGAAGUUGUCCUGUGGGUGGAGUGUCUGUAAGUGCCUGGUAUAAAGAACAGAGGAAAGAGUCUUAGGAAAUGUGCAUCAUUCUCCUUUAAGAUUCGAGAGCUGCAAUCCAAGGGCUGUAAAGACCUUCAGCUGGUGAUAAUUGGAUUUGUAAGACAGUGCAACAUGUGAUAAAAACUCUCCUGUUGGAUAGGAUCCCAGUUUUCUUCCAUCCUUCCUAUUAAUGUGAUAAAUGUUGCUGUCUCAGCUGAUAGGGCCAUGUUGGAUAAUCAGAUUGGAAUCAAGUUUGAGUUCCUUAGGCUGGCUCCACAUGAAGCUCGUGGGAAGACUUCUG